rnacentral:lncRNA from 9 species
GCUCAUUACCGCUGAGCCACAAUGGGAACUCCCUCUUAGUUUUGGCAAAUGCACCAUGUGUCACUUAUUGGAAAAGUGUUUAUCGGAAGCUGGUUGAAGAGUAUAUGAGGGGAAGAAAGAAUACAUAUAAACUCUCUGUACUAUAUUAAGUUUCUGUCAAUCUAAAAUUAUUCACAAAUAAAAGAAUUUAAAAAUGGACAAUUUGACCAGAUGCUCCACCCAAGAUGUACAAAUGGCCAGUAAAUACCUGAAAAGAUGCUCAAAGUCAGUAGCCAUUGCCGGUGGGAAUGCAAAUGAUGUGGGAGACUGUUUGGCAGUUCCCCGGACACUUACACAUGAAAUUGCCCCAUGACCUAGCACUUCCACUGCCCAACAAUAUACCGUUAAGGUAACGUGACUAAUUUUAUUUUGACUUUCCACAAUUAGAGUUUGGGAUUUGACAAAGAUCAGCAUAGUGAUGGCAAGUAAAGCCAUUGGAGUGGAAGUUCUUCCAGCCUUCUGGCUUUAGUAAGUGGGUGGAUGGGAGUUCUACGUAUUAAGAUGAGAAAACUGGAGAAGGAAUAGGCUUUGGUGGGGGGAGGGCAAAUGAAAUUCAGGCGUUUUCUUUGGGGUUGUUAAGUUGAAGAUGGCUGUAAAGGAAUGUUAACUCCACAGUUACACAUGACACUGGAGAGGUCUUGGUGUGUGUGUGUGUGUGUGUGUGUGUGUGUAUAAAAUUUUUUUUUUGUAAAGUUGUAUCAGUCUUUAUUAAGCACACACUGUCCAGGACAUGUUCUAUUUGCUAUGGCUUCUCCAGGAAAGUGAUUUUUCUGGGACCAUGAGGGUGAAUUUAAGGGUUCUUUUUCUCUUCUAUAUAGUGACCAUUGGGCGUCAUCUGCUACACAAACUACAGGGUCGUGGUCACUCCAUCCUAGACGACUGCUUUCUGAAGGCAUUUUCAACUCGCUAAUAAUGCUCAUUCUCCAUCAGCGUGCUCCGUCUGUCUGGGGGAAGGAUUUUGUUGACUGCAAUUUGAAACUUCCGUCGAAUUUAAGGGGUAGUGGCAACUCAGACAGCAGCUUAUACACCUGUGUUCCUGCGAUGCUCUUUCCGUCACAGCCCUGGGCAGCUUUUUGGACCUUUUGGCUGCCAUCCUUUUCCAGCCGAGAAGCUUUUCUUCUGUUUUAUGCUACCACCACCUGCUGUCCUGUUCCUACCACACAGAAACUCGUCUCCCCUUUUCCCAAAGGAACGAAUCUGACUGCAAGGCCACGAUAGGAAUAUCUUUCAGGGAGAUUAAGCAAUGACACAACUUUUCGAGGCUUAAUUUUAAAAGCACAGACUUUUAAAAUGAACGUGUUAUUUUAAAUGCCUGUAAAGAAAGUACUUUUCUUUUAGUCAUGUGAUGAUAAAGGGCUGAAUAUGAUUUUCACCAUGGCAAGAGGAAACGAUCGGAUGGGUGAUCCUUUUCAUUUAUUUUUAUUUAACAAACAUUUAAAUCGUGUUUAGUAUAUGUCGGGCACUAUUUUAAGUUCUCUAUCAGGAUAAGUCUUGUAAUCCUUAUAACAACCCUGUGAAGUAGGUUCUAUUAUUAUUCCCAUUUUGGAGAUGAGAGACCCAAGGCACAAAGAGGUCAAAUAACAUGCUCAGGGUUGCUGUAGUGGGUUACGUUCGUGUUUAAAAUAUUAGAUGCUCCUCCCUGUUGGCAUCAGUCUCAGCUAUGUUACUUGCAGUGCUUUCCUUUCUCCAUGUACAUUCGGCCUGACCGGGUGACUGGCAUUGUCCUAUGACAUCUGAACAGAGCAAAAGGUUCCGAGCAAAAGCCUUUUUUUAAAAAAAAGUCAGCUCAGAGUCCACCAUGUUCUUCCCUUCUUUAUCCAGGAAAGCAGUAGUGUUUGAGAGAGGGGAUGUUCUUUCAUAUUGGAUUUGAGAAUAAAGACAGAUGGAGCGGAACUGGAGCUGACCCCAAUAGCACACAUAACAUGACAAAGAACUAAACCUUUGUGAUGUAAGCCACCCGAAUCCUGGAGUUAUUUGUUCAUGUGUUUGUCGUCUUUGGCAGUGUAACAUACAACUACCAGGUCACAUGGGCAUUUAGCAAUAAAC